rnacentral:lncRNA from 1 species
AUGGAGGAAGGAGCUUUCCUCUUGGAUUUAAAUUCUUUGUCAGGCUAUGGGCUGCAGAAGAGAGUAAGCAUGGGUAUUGACAUGAGUCUGGAAAUUUCUAAUGACGCUAUUGCAUCUCUUUUCUCCCUCCAUCAUCGUAGGGGCUUUCUUUUUGUUUUUAAUUUUUAUUUAAAAUUUUUUUUCCAUAGUUAUAUGAUUCAUGUUUUCUCCCUUCCCUUCUGCCUUCCCCCUCCCAGAGUUGACAAGCAAUUCCACUGGAUUAUACAUAUAUGCAUAUCUAUCUAUCUAUCUAUCUAUCUAUCUAUCUAUCUAUCUAUCUAUCUACCUAUCUAUCUAUCUAUCUACCUAUCUAUCUAUCUCUCUCUCCAUCUGUCCAUCUACCUAUCAUCUCUCUCCUUCUAUCUAUCCAUCUAUCUAUCUAUCUCUCUCUCCAUCUGUCCAUCUACCUAUCAUCUCUCUCCUUCUGUCUAUCCAUCUAUCUAUCUAUCUAUCUAUCUAUCUAUCUAUCUAUCUAUCUAUCUAUCUAUCUAUCUAUCUAUCUAUCUAUCUACCUAUCUAUCUAUCUAUCAUCACUUGAACAUAGGGGCUUUCUUUCUAAAGGCAAUAAUGCCAUUCUCUCCUCCAUCAGACUGGGAUCUCCCAUAAUCCUGGCAACAAACACAAAUCACUCACAUUUAUAUAAUGAUCUUCACUUUACAAAAGCACUUCUCUCCCAGCUAUCUGUGAGGAGGUGAUGCAAGGCUGUCAAGUGUAGUGUACAGGGCUGGGUCUUUUCCUUCUCCUCCUUUCUGUGGUAAAGGUCUACACACCACGGAUGCUGAAUUACUUGUUUCCUGACUGGUGAGAAGGAAGGCUGAUCAACUGUGAGGCCCUAGAGAGGCUAUGGGUUCGGAAUCCUUGCCUGUUUGGGGAAUCGGAAGCACAAGACCUACUUCCUUUAGACCUUCAUUUAUUUAUCCCACAAAGUGGUGCCAAAUCCACCAAGCUAACUUUCAUAGCUACUGAUUAGAUUGGGGCUGAGACCAAAUCAUAGUUAGAAAUUGAGGCCAGGCUUAAAUUUAGCCAGAAAUUUGGGUGAGUAUAUGUUCUAAAUUAUUUAUAGCAGUUCUCUAUGUGGUAGCAAAAAACUGGAGAUUGAGGGAAUGCUCAUAAUUUGGGGAAUGGCUAAACAAAUUAUGACAUAUGACUUUGAUGGUAUACUAUUGUGCAGUAAGAAAUGACAAACAGGUUAAUUUUUAAAAAUCAUGGAAAUAUCUACCUGAAAUCAUGAAGCAUGAAAUGAGCAGGGGCAGCUAGGUAGCACAGUGGCUAGAAAGCCACUGGAGAUGCAAGAUCCAUGGUUCAGAUCUGGCCUUAGACACUUCUAGCUAUGUGACCCUGGGCAAGUCACUUACCCACUGCUCUUCUGCCUUAGAAUCGAUACUUAGUAUUGAUUUUAAGACAGAUGGCAAGAGGUUUUAAAAAAAUGGAAAUGAGCAGAACCAAGAGAACAUUAUAUAAAGCAAAAGAAAUACUGUUUGAAGAAUACUUGUGAAUGUUUGUCUCCAGAUAAAGAAUUGAUAAGUAGAAACAUACAUGAUAUUGUUUACACACAUACAUACACAUAUUUGUCAAAAGAUGCUUUCUCUAGUGUAGGGAAGGGAGAAGACACACAGGGGAUAUUUAAUGUAGCAAACAAAUAAAUCAAUUUAAACUGAAUAAAAAGAAAUGUAG